GAGGGUGCUGACCCCACAGCACAGAAAAUCAGGCACUGUCUCAACAGCCCGACGCCCACAGGGCCUGCAGACAGCUCCAGGGAACCCCCGCCUCGGCAGCCAACAGGGAGGGAGAGGAGAGGCCUCCGGUCCAGACCCCAUUUCAGAUUUCAGAUUUCAGAUUUCAGAUUUCAGAUUCCUGAUCCUCUCCCCCUUCCCCCGCCCCCCAAACAGCAGGAUCCUCAAGCCACACGGCGCAACAGGCCCCCGCCCGCCUCCCAGCGCCAGGUUAACCCUUUGCCCGCUGCUGCUGCUGCGGGGUCCCGUGUCCCGGAGGGGGUGCCCGGGGCGGCUGCCACCCCCAGGCCCCGGCCCGCGCGGCGCGGCUCACGUGUCCUUCCCCCUCCACCCCGGGCUCUGCCUCGCGCCCUCCCGCCCGCCGCUCCGCAAAGUUCGCGGGAGCCCGGGGAGCCCCUGGGGGCGCGAUCCCGCCCCACGCUCGCGCGGGUUCCGCUGUCACGGAGACUCCCGACCCUCGGCCUUCCCAGAAGGAAGGGCGAUGAGAACGCGCCCGUCCGGAGCCUGGGUGGAAACUUUGCUUCCUGGGGUUCAGGCCGGAGCCCGCGGGCCCAGGGAGUCCCCCGGGGGCUCCCGGGGGGGGGGCGCGAACGCAAAGCAGCGCACCUGCACCUCGCGAGGGGCCGCUCGGAGCAUCCCCCCGGCGGGGGCCCACGCGGCUCGGGGUCCCGGGUCUCCCCGCGGCGCCCCGGCUCUUCCCUCCAGCCGCCCGCCCCGGGGCCAAGCGCUCUGGCGCCUUUAAGAGCCGCCCCGCGUACCUUUGCUCGGGCUCCCCGGCGCCGCGGCCCCCCCGCCCCUUCCCCGGGGCGCGCCGCCCGCCCGGCCCUCCCGACCCUGCCCGGCGCCCGCGGGACUCACCGCGCGUGUCCUGGGGCCGCGGGGCUGGGCGCCGGGUCCGCGCCCGGGGCUCGGGGAGGCUCCCCCACUCCGGAAAGGCCUGGCCUCUGCCAGCCUUGUGGGGCUGGCCGGGAGAGCCUUGACUAG
rnacentral:lncRNA from 12 species